GAACAAAGAAUCUCUCAGAAGAGUUACAAGAAUCAAGAAGAAAACUCACUUACAAUUUCGAUAAUCCAAAAGUAAUGCAGUAACAGAGUUAUAUACUCUGUUACCGUUACAACCGUUAUAACGAACUAUACACGUGUCCCUCGUUUACUCGUUCCCUUGUAACUUGCCUUCCAUGUCACGCCUCAUCUCUUUAUCUGUAUCAAAUCUUCCCUCCCCAAAGAAACUUGUCCACAAGAUUCAGAAAUCCAUCUCAGGGAACCUCCUCU
rnacentral:lncRNA from 1 species